rnacentral:rRNA from 1 species
UACGGAGGGUGCGAGCGUUAUCCGGAUUCACUGGGUUUAAAGGGUGCGUAGGUGGGUCUGUAAGUCAGUGGUGAAAUCUCCGGGCUUAACCUGGAAACUGCCAUUGAUACUAUAGGUCUUGAAUUUUCUGGAGGUAAGCGGAAUAUGUCAUGUAGCGGUGAAAUGCUUAGAUAUGACAUAGAACAUCGAUUGCGAAGGCAGCUCGCUACGCUAUUAUUGACACUGAGGCACGAAAGCGUGGGGAUCAAACAGG